UAUUAAAUUUAAAAAUAACUUUAACUAGAACAUUUUGUGUUGUAUACCCAUCAUCUUGAUCCCUUGAUCAUUGGACACUUUCGAAUUUUACGCAGAAUCUCCUUGGUUUUGAAUAUCCUCAAUUUCUAUGGUCUCUCAUUAGUUGAGCGCAAAAUUCCUUAACUUCCAAUUUGCUCUUCGUUCUCCACAGACUAUAUAUACUAUUCACGUAAUAUCGAAUAAAAAUUAAAUUUAUCUGUAGAUUUUCAAAAAAUCGUGGUCAAUGUCAUCCACGAUUCAAGAAAUCCCUGCUCAGUUAAACAAAAUCAAGCAACUCUAACAAGAAAAACUAAUUUGUCGGGACCUUGUCAUGUAGCACUGUGCUCGAACCAUUUAUUUCAGGACUAAUCUUCAAAACAAAAAAGUUUUAUCUGAUUUUUUUUUUAUUUCUAAUCAUGUCUAUUGUUAGGAUAAUAUGAGAUUGUGUGCUAGCAAAUUAACGAUUUAUUUAGUUUUAAGUUGAAGCGAGGCAUUCUUCCAAUCACCAACAGCAAAGAUCGUUUAAGAAUAUUUAACACAUUUCUAUUGCUUUAAAUCUCGAAAUUAUAGUUAAAAUAAAUACUAAAUGUGAUGAAUAUUCAAUUUUUAGUCCCAAAUGUAAAAAUUGUGAAUUUGAAUUAAUCUGAACCAAAUUAAAUUUAAAAAUUUUAAUCCCUAGUUCCAGACAAUAAUGUUUUCAGAGGAGCCACCAAGACAAGAGGAUACUCAUCCGCAGGACGGGGAUAGGGUUGAGGAUGAAAGGAUGGAUGAAGAUGAAGUAGGAGAUGAGGAGAAUGAUGAAUAUGAUUCUGAUCUGGCUGAACUAGACGAGGAGAAAAUAUUUUCUGAGUUUAAUGCGUUGGACAGGCAGUUGGACGAUCUUGACAAGGUUCUGGAUUCUUUAGAGGAGAAGAACGAUGCUAUCCAUUCACAGCUUAGAGAACUACUAGCGGAUAGUAGACAGGUUCGGCGUGAGAUUCAAGAGGAAGGACAGAAACAAUCUUGAAAUGUUGGAGAUUUUUUCUAGUUAUAUUAUAUUGAUACUUUGAUCCUUGUUCCUCAAUUCUGAUUUGAACCUUACAGAUUUAUAAAAGUCGUUCUAAAUUCUACUGAUAGAAAUGCAUUUAAAUUUAUCUUACCA
rnacentral:misc_RNA from 1 species